rnacentral:rRNA from 1 species
AGCCUAAACCAGAGAGCUUCGGCUCCCUGGGGUUACGGACUGGCAUAAACCGAGUCAGGCCUAGCCGAAUCACCUGGAAAGGUGAGCCACAGACCGUGAGAGCCGGGUAGGCGAAAGGCAGAGCAAGGGGGCCAGUAUCCAGAGUACCGCGAAGCACGAGGAAUUUUGCGGGAAGUCGGGGGGACCACCCUCCAAGGCUAAACACUUCUUAGUGACCGAUAGCGCAUAGUACCGUGAGGGAAAGGUGAAAAGAACCGCGGGAGCGGAGUGAAAGAGAACCUGAAACCGUAUGUCUACAAGCAGUCGGAGCGCAAGCGACGGCGUGCCUAUUGAAGAAUGAGCCAACGAGUUACGGGCACCAGCGAGGUUAAGCAGGAAAUGCGGAGCCGUAGGGAAACCGAGUCUGAAAAGGGCGAAUAGUUGGUGUUCGUAGACCCGAAACUGUAGUGAUCUACCCAUGAUCAGGUUGAAGCACGGGUAAAAUCGUGUGGAGGACCGAACCGGUGAGUGUUGAAAAACUUUCGGAUGAAUCGUGGGUAGCGGUGAAAUUCCAAUCGAACGCAGAGAUAGCUGGUUCUCCUCGAAAUAGCUUUAGGGCUAGCCUCAGGCAGUAAGCAUAGGCGGUAGAGCACUGAUCGGGAUAGGGACUGUAAUGGUUACCGAACCCUGUCAAACUACGAAUGGUUAUGCUGCAGAGCCUGGGAGUCAGACUACGAGAGAUAAGUCCCGUUGUCAAAAGGGAAACAGCCCAGACCAUCAGCUAAGGUCCCCAAUGCCAUACUAAGUGGAAAAGGAUGUGGGGUCUCAUAAACAACCAGGAUGUUGGCUCAGAAGCAGCCACCAUUUAAAGAGUGCGUAAUAGCUCACUGGUCGAGAGGCCCUGCGCCGAAGAUUCCCGGGGCUAAAGUAUGGAACCGAAGCUAUGGAUGCAUACGUAAGUAUGCGUGGUAGAGGAGCGUUCCCAUCGGGUUGAAGUCGUCCUGUAAGGGACGGUGGACUGGUGGGAAGUGAGAAUGUUGGCAUGAGUAGCGAAAAGAAUGGUGAGAAUCCAUUCCACCGAAAGCAUAAGGAUUCCUGAGCAACGAUCGUCGUCUCAGGGUAAGUCGGGACCUAAUCCGAGGCAAAGAGCGUAGGAGAUGGACAACUGGUUGAUAUUCCAGUACCGGCAGUGAUCGUUUGAACGAAGGAGUGACGCAGGAAGGCAGGUCCGCACGAGAUUGGUAGAUCGUGUGCAAGCGUGCAGGCUGGUUACCAGGCAAAUCCGGUAACUGAGGCUGAGGCGUGAUGCGGAGGGAACUUGUUCCCGAAGGGAUUGAGCCUACGCUGCCGAGAAAAGCUUCUAGUGAGAAAGCUGCCGCCCGUACCGUAAACCGACACAGGUAUGCGGGGAGAGAAUCCUAAGGUGCGCGGGAGAACCCUCGUUAAGGAACUCGGCAAAAUGUACCCGUAACUUCGGGAUAAGGGUAGCCACAAAGGUGAAGGGACUUGCUCCCGGAGCCCGGUGUGGUCGCAGAGAAGAGGCCCAAGCGACUGUUAACCAGAAACACAGGUGCCUGCGAAAGAGAAAUCUGAAGUAUAGGUGCUGACACCUGCCCAGUGCUGGAAGGUUAAAGAAGGAUGUCCGGGUUCGACCCAAAGCAUUCGACUGAAGCCCCAGUGAACGGCGGCCGUAACUAUAACGGUCCUAAGGUAGCGAAAUUCCUUGUCGGGUAAGUUCCGACCCGCACGAAAGGUGUAACGAUUUGGGCACUGUCUCAACGAGGGACCCGGUGAAAUUGAAAUACCUGUGAAGAUGCAGGUUACCCGCGACUGGACAGAAAGACCCCAUGGAGCUUUACUGUAACCUAAUAUUGGGUUCUGAUACUUGAUGCACAGGAUAGGUGGGAGGCACGGAUGGCAGUCCUCUGGGAUUGCCGGAGCCACUGUUGGGAUACCACCCUUCAAUUAUCGGGAUUCUAACCGAGCGAGUAACGAUCGCCGGGACAGUGUUAGGCGGGCAGUUUGACUGGGGCGGUCGCCUCCCAAAGAGUAACGGAGGCGCCCAAAGGUUCCCUCAGCGCGGACGGAAACCGCGCGCGGAGUGUAAAGGCAGAAGGGAGCUUGACUGCGAGCCAAACACGGCGAGCAGGUACGAAAGUAGGGCUUAGUGAUCCGGUGGCAUCCAAGUGGAAGGGCCAUCGCUCAACGGAUAAAAGCUACCCUGG